rnacentral:rRNA from 1 species
AGUGAACGCUGGCGGUAGGCCUAACACAUGCAAGUCGAACGGCAGCACAGUAAGAGCUUGCUCUUACGGGUGGCGAGUGGCGGACGGGUGAGGAAUACAUCGGAAUCUACUUUUUCGUGGGGGAUAACGUAGGGAAACUUACGCUAAUACCGCAUACGACCUACGGGUGAAAGCAGGGGAUCUUCGGACCUUGCGCGAUUGAAUGAGCCGAUGUCGGAUUAGCUAGUUGGCGGGGUAAAGGCCCACCAAGGCGACGAUCCGUAGCUGGUCUGAGAGGAUGAUCGGCCACACUGGAACUUAGACACGGUCCAGACUCCUAAGGGAGGCAGCAGUGGGGAAUAGUGGACAAUGGGCGCAAGCCUGAUCCAGCCAGACCGCGUGGGUGAAGAAGGCCUUCGGGUUGUAAAGCCCUUUUGUUGGGAAAGAAAAGCAGCAGGUUAAGACCCCGCUGUUCUGACGGUACCCAAAGAAUAAGCACCGGCUAACUUCGUG